rnacentral:rRNA from 1 species
UACGGAGGGUGCAAGCGUUAAUCGGAAUUACUGGGCGUAAAGCGUGCGCAGGCGGUUUGUUAAGUCUGUUGUGAAAUCCCCGAGCUCAACUUGGGAAUUGCAAUGGAUACUGGCAGGCUAGAGUAUGGUAGAGGAAGGUGGAAUUCCCGGUGUAGCGGUGAAAUGCGCAGAUAUCGGGAGGAACACCGGUGGCGAAGGCGGCUCACUGGCUCGUAACUGACGCUCAGGCGCGACAGCGUGGGGAUCAAACAGG